UGCUCGCGGUCUUUCCUCUCCACCCGGCUCCGGCGAACGCCUCUGGCCAGAGCCAUCCAGGGCCCCUUGUCUCUCCCCUCCCGUCCUCAGAAUCUGGAGCCAGUUCGUGCGCCGCACCUCUCCGCGCGGCCGGCGGCGGCCGGGUUCUAUCAUUGGCGUUUUGUCUCGUCGUCAGCGAUGAAAGACGAGAGGAAUCCUUGAUUAAAAAGCUAACAAGCUGUACACCUCUUCAACCUGAUUUAUUGUAACACACGUCGCAUCGAGGUAUGAUACUCUGGAAUAACCUUGGAAUUCUUCAGUGUCCCGGAGCUCCUUGAUUUGAAUCCCUGAGAAACCUGUCCCUUAUUCUUUGCAACUCUUUUAGAGCAUCUCCAAUUUGCACGCGAUUUGUUGGUGUUUCCUUUGAACAGGAAAUUCCAACACGCAGAAUAGAUGUUAUGCAAGCAUUCCUUAUAUCUUUUGUUCUGUCACAGUCAGAUGUUAAUCCUUCAUCACCAUCUUCUUCUUGUAGCAAGUAGGUGUCGACAAUAUUAGCCACUUGGUCUGGCACUGCCAUCUUUACAUAUGUAUGAAGACUGAAAUCUUCACCAAAUUCACUGUCUGUUGGUUUUUUUCU